CGGGGUGUAGCGAAGUUUGGUAUCGCGCUUGGUUCGGGACCAAGAGGCCCGGGGUUCAAGUCCCCGCACUCCGACCA
rnacentral:tRNA from 1 species